rnacentral:misc_RNA from 1 species
GAUGAAGAACGUAGCGAAAUGCGAUACGUAGUGUGAAUUGCAGAAUUCCGUGAAUCAUCGAAUCUUUGAACGCACAUUGCGCCCCUUGGUAUUCCAUGGGGCAUGCCUGUUCGAGCGUCAUUUGUACCUUCAAGCUUUGCUUGGUGUUGGGUGUUUGUCUCGCCUUUGCGUGUAGACUCGCCUUAAAAUAAUUGGCAGCCGGCGUAUUGAUUUCGGAGCGCAGUACAUCUCGCGCUUUGCACUCAUAACGACAGCGUCCAAAAGUACAUUUUACACUCUUGACCUCGGAUCAGGUAGGGAUACCCGCUGAACUUAAGCAUAUCAAUAAGCGGAGGA